rnacentral:rRNA from 1 species
GAGGAAUAUUGCGCAAUGGGGGCAACCCUGACGCAGCGACGCCGCGUGGAUGAUGAAGGCCCUUGGGUCGUAAAAUCCUGUCAGAUGGAAAGAAAUGUAUAGCAGUUAAUAUCUGUUAUAUUUGACGGUACCAUCAAAGGAAGCACCGGCUAACUCCGUGCCAGCAGCCGCGGUAAUACGGAGGGUGCAAGCGUUGUUCGGAAUUACUGGGCGUAAAGCGCGCGUAGGCGGUUUGCUAAGUCAGAUGUGAAAGCCCUCGGCUUAACCGGGGACGUGCAUUUGAAACUGGCAGACUUGAGUACUGGAGGGGGUGGUGGAAUUCCCGGUGUAGAGGUGAAAUUCGUAGAUAUCGGGAGGAAUACCGGUGGCGAAGGCGACCACCUGGCCAGAUACUGACGCUGAGGUGCGAAAGCGUGGGGAGCAAAC